CACGUAGUUAGCCGGGGCUUCUUAGUCAGGUACCGUCAUUUUCUUCCCUGCUGAUAGAGCUUUACAUACCGAGAUACUUCUUCACUCACGCGGCGUCGCUGCAUCAGGGUUUCCCCCAUUGUGCAAUAUUCCCCACUGCUGCCUCCCGUAGGAGUUUGGGCCGUGUCUCAGUCCCAAUGUGGCCGUCCACCCUCUCAGGCCGGCUACCGAUCGUCGCUUUGGUGGGCCGUUACCCCGCCAACUGGCUAAUCGGACGCGGAUCCAUCGUAUGCCGAUAAAUCUUUUCACACAGUACCAUGCGGUAUUGUGCGCUUAUGCGGUAUUAGCAGCUGUUUCCAACUGUUAUCCCCCUGCAUACGGCAGGUUAUCCACGCGUUACUCACCCGUCCGCCACUAACUCGGAAAUCACUAGGUUUCAAUCCGAGUCCGUUCGACUUGCAUGUGUUAGGCACGCCGCCAGCGUUCAUCCUGAGCCAGGAUCAAACUCU
rnacentral:rRNA from 1 species